rnacentral:rRNA from 1 species
AUUGAACGCUAGCGGCAGGCCUAACACAUGCAAGUCGAACGGUAGCACAGGAGAGCUUGCUCUCUGGGUGACGAGUGGCGGACGGGUGAGUAAUGCAUGGGGAGCUGCCCAAUCGAGGGGGAUACCAGCUGGAAACGGCUGCUAAUACCGCAUACGCCCUGAGGGGGAAAGGUGGGGACCUUCGGGCCUACCGCGAUUGGAUGCACCCAUGUGGGAUUAGCUAGUUGGUGAGGUAACGGCUCACCAAGGCGACGAUCUCUAGCUGGUCUGAGAGGAUGACCAGCCACACUGGAACUGAGACACGGUCCAGACUCCUACGGGAGGCAGCAGUGGGGAAUAUUGCACAAUGGGGGAAACCCUGAUGCAGCCAUGCCGCGUGUGUGAAGAAGGCCUUCGGGUUGUAAAGCACUUUCAGUGGGGAGGAAGGGUUGAUGUCUAAUACGCAUCAGCAUUGACGUUACCCACAGAAGAAGCACCGGCUAACUCCGUGCCAGCCGCCGCCGUAA